GUCUGGUAUGUUGGUGAAUGUAGUCGUAAGGUGGGGGUAGGGAGUGUUUUUUUUUUUUACACUAAACUCGGGGGGUGGGAAACGACAUUCAAAAACACUUAAUACGUGAGAAUAUUAAGCACAACAUAGAAAUGACUAACCCAAAAUAACCCAGAGGCAGGAGGCGCGGCCUGCGAAAGUGUUGGUACUCGGGAACAGGAUAGAAACUAAUGUUCGGAUAACAAAAUAACAAUACGUUGUGAAGGGGAAGGGGCGUUAUAUCCUGUUUCCACUAGCCACGCUUGAGUGCAUCUCGGCAAGUCCGUCUGAAUCCGAGGCGUUUCCACCAGGCUCCGGUACACCUCCGCGUGGACCCAAACUGGUUUCAGGAGGUACAGUUUCGUAUGUCGCACCCGCUGAGUCCCAAACUAGUUUGUGCGGAAGUACCCUUACGUUCCCUUACCUACCCGCAGCACACAGGAAUAUCCACUAGAAAGUGUCCUGACGGCAUCAGCUGAUUGUUAAUGGUUAGGUAUUGGGUUUGAGGUUAGGUUUUAGGGCAGUAGUUGGGUUCGGGACAGUGUGGCUUGAUUUCGUAGAGUUGCCGAGCUCUGGAAGCGAAAGGUGGGACUAAAUGGCAAAUGCCCUAGACUCAUCUGAUGCCCUCAGCCAGGACACUUUCUCGAGGAUAUGUCUUUACGCUGCUACGUACCCAGACGCAACGUCACUGCUUUUUUAAAUUUUCACUCCAACAAUGGCUGACGCAAUCGAUGCGAGAGGUGAUGAAAUUAGAGCACUUAUUAAUGUAUGGUCGGAAAGUGCCAUACAGGAACAAUUGAGCAAUAAGAAAUUUUAAAGUGUUUGAAAAGAUCGCGAAAAUACUGCUGGAGAAAUGACUGCAUCGGACUGCAAUACAGUGCCGUGACAAAAUAAAGAAACUAAAAAUACAGUACAAACAUUUUAAAGACCCCAACAACAAAAGUGGCGACUGUAGAAAUACUUUCAUGUACUUUGAGGCGAUGGACAACAUUACUGGGCUGCCGUCCGGUACUCUGGAAGGUAUUGUUUGUUCCAGUCCGGCGUAGGACAAGAUGGAUCUCUUACUCCUUUCCUGAGCUGUGAGAGAACUCCCCUCCCAGAGGUAAAUUUCUGUGAUGUGGAGGUCUGCUGCACAUGCAGGAGACCAUACAGGAUUGCACUGGAGCUGAUGGUGGAAUGCGGGAGGUUAUGUGAGAAGAAGGCAUUUUAAAGUUCUGUUAAACCUACUCCUAACAUCCCACUCCAUAGGUCAGGACCUUGACGUGGUAACCCAUCAAAAGACCCUGCUCAUCCCAAUUGCAUUCCAUCAAUGUUCAAACACUGGAACCUCACUAAUUCUGCAAAAAAUUAGUAGAUACAGCAGACUUCAAAAGACAAGAACAUUAACUGAAGAAGCAAUCCAAGAAACACAACCUUGCCAAAGCCACCAAGAAAUCAGUAAUGUCAGUGUCUCAGUUGGAACAGAUCACUCUAUGGAGUACAUUGAAAGUCUCGAACAGGAGAAUGACAACUUGAAACAGCAUGUUAACGAUUUAGAAUUCAAGAUAACAUAUUUGGAAAACAAAACAAAGGAAUCAGUGUCUGUAAAGUCCACAAUAUUUUAUUUCAGAAAGGAUAAUCAGCAAGUGAAAUUUUAUACUGACUUGCCUACAGCCAAGGUGUUUCUUGACUUGCUGACAUUCUUACUGACAGUGUGGGUAUGCUGCACCACUGCACUUCUGCCUCCAGCUGAGCACUUCCUGAUGGCUCUGAUGAAGCUGUGUUUGGGACUUACCCAUCAGGACUUGGCUUUUAGAUUUAAUAUACAUAUUUGUACUAUUGCUAAUAUUUGUCAUGGUUGGUUAGAUGUUAUGUCAAGGGAACUUCAAUGUCUCAUUCAUUGGCCACCAAGAAAGGAAAUUAAACAAAAUGUGCCUCAUUUAUUUAAAAACAAGAUGUUUGAUAGUGUAAGAUGCAUAAUUGAUUGUAGUGAAAUAUUUAUUCAAAGACUGACCAGUCUUCAUGCCAUAUAAAUCUCACAAUACCAUCAAAUUUCUUUUAGGUGUAAACAGGAGCUGUUACUUUUUUGUCACAAAUGUGGGGCGGGCGUGCAAGUGACAAAGUAAUAACUAAGAAUUCCAGAUUAAUUCAUUUGCUUAAGGAAGGAGAUGCAAUUUUGGCUGAUUGUGGAUUUAAUUUUCCUGAUCAUUUUGCUGCAAAGGGUUUUAAGCUUGUCGUAGCAGCAUCCACAAAAUGCAAAAAACUGUUAUCUGGCGUAGAGGUGUCUGUUUCACAUCAGAUGUCCCGUGCUAGGAUUCAUGUGGAGCAUGCAAUUGGAAGAUUAAAAAAAAAAUACCACAUUCUUCGCAAUGUCCUUCCAGUUUCAAUGAUCAGUCGCCAUGGUGAUAAUGAUCUAGCCACCACUGAUAAAAUUCUUAUAAUAUGUGCUGCCUUGAACAACCUGAGUAAACCUCUUGUGCCCAAAUAAAUAUUACCGUGGUGAAAGUUUGUGCUAAUUAAAUUAAUUUAUGUGUAACACAGAGCAAAUGAAUC